rnacentral:lncRNA from 12 species
AUGUGUCAACCUACCCCAGCUGUCAUUGCAUUAAAAUGUAACUGCUGUUACACAGAGCAUUGGAGAGCACAGAGUGAGUCUGAAAGGAACAGGAGGAAAAUAUGCACAAAACCUUCAUCUGUCAGGAAGCAUCAAGAUCCAACACCUGGAAUUAUAAGUAGUAACUUUGAAACCCCUGGUACAUAAGAAGAAUGAGGAACAAUCAUACAUUACGACUAAUAGAAUUAUUUGAAAUGCAAACUUGGGCUGCUCUCCUAGUCCUGGAUUGAAGGAGAAGAUAAGAUGCGGGACUGUGUUAGGAGGCCUUGAUGUCUUUUUCUCUUUACACAUAGGUCAGAGACAGGACUGAACCUCUCAGCUUGGAAUCAGAUGAGAAGCUAGUAUGAUAAAAGAGCCAAAAGAACCCAGUCUCAACAGUUAAGUGGAACCCACUUAGUCUUAAAAUACGUGUUUAUGAAGUAUAAGAAGACCUCUACUCUUGCUUUUUCUUUUAAAACCACUAAAUCCAGUUGAUACUGCUUAUGUGUCUCUUCAAUCUGUCCACUUGUUCAAUAUCCAAAGGCACUACUUUGAUUUGGCCACCAUUAUCUCUUCCCAGGAUUCCUUCCACCACUGCCCACCGUUAACCAGACAGCCCUCCUCCACUUUCUCUACCCUCUGAUAGCAGGAGUAAUCUUCCUAAGACACAAAAUGAACUUUGUCACUCUCUUGCUUAAAAUCCUUUUCUAGCCCCCCAUUACCCCUAGGGUGAAGUCUAAAGUUCUUAACAUGGCUCAUCUGGUCCUGUGUGAUGGCUCCUGCUUACUGCUCCAACUUUGAUGCUCUAUACUGCCCCUGCCACCAUUGCUGUGCUCUGUUCUGGAAAACUUCCUGAACUCUGCACUUGGCCAGCUUUCCAUCGGCACACAGGCUAGGACAUAGAUAGUUUUAUUCUGGGAGAAUUUCUGACUUUCUCAGUUUGGGUUAGCUAAUCCUGCCAUAUAUGUUUCUUUAUUGUUCUUUUUGCGUGCUACCAUGGUGUAUAUUGUGGAGCAUUAUAAUUGCCACUUUAGUUAUUACUUGUCUGUUGCACCCACUAGAUCUAACGUUCUUUGUGGUCAGGAGCUAUGUUCACAGUGAUAAUGCCAGGGCUUAGAACAGUAUCUGUCCCAUAGUGGGUGCUCAUCAGAUCUGGAAGGAAGAAAGCAGGUAUGAAGGAGGGAGGAAUUCUGUGGAGCCAGCCUAGAGAAAUCAAAGUCAAAUCAUGUUGAGGAGAUACCUACUCUAUCAGAGAAGGUUCAAAUGGAUCAGGAAAUAAAACCCAAAGGAAAAUUGAAGAAUAGUAUAAC